ensembl:misc_RNA 7SK 7SK RNA
GGCUAUAAGCGUGAUACGGCUAUGACAUCUGUCACCCCACUGAUCACCAAGGUGAACUGGCUGGCUUACCCCUCCACCCCCUCACUGCUCCGUGUGUGUCUCUUCCAAGAUGCAUAUUUGGUCAAAGACAAUGACCUACUCCAAACAGACUGGUCAUUCUUUGGUCAAGCCAAUUUGAAUGGCUGUGCUCCCCUCUUCAAACUUCCACGCAAGCUGGGGUGUGUUUACUGAACAUCAUUUUUGGUCUCUAUCACACUAUAAAGGGGUGGGAAGAAGAAAGAAAAACAACUCUGCCUGCCCAGAAAUUAUAAUCUAGCUAUGGAAACAAGGUUUA